AUGUGUGUGGGCUGUGGCACACUGAAAUGCAGCAGGUGCCAUCUUAACGUAGGCCCCGCGCACAAGUGUUUAUUUUUUAACCCUUGCCGUGACAUUCCAUGUAUAAGACGACACCCAAUUUUUGACUAAAUUUAUUUUUAUCUUUGAAUCACUCUCUUACAUGGAUAAAUACAGUAAUUUGGGAGUUUGAAUUCGCGUGUUUUUGUAUUUAAUGGAUAGAAGUAGGUAUAGAAACC